rnacentral:snoRNA from 1 species
CACCUCUGGUUCCCUUUCCCAUGGGAUCUGAACACCUGUCCUCGUGGUCGUAAAAGGACGACUAGUUAGACUGAAGCUGUCCUCAGAGCUGUCUGCUUUAGAGCAUGUGGGCUAGUUUCAAACAAGG